AACGUCAGUCAUAGCGUAUAUAACGUGUGCAGUUAAAGCCGAGUGCAUGUGGAUGAGUAAUAUGAGUCUAAGUCAUGUAUAUGAUGACCCUCACUUAUAUAUGGGUAGUAUUUAUUGUAUAGAGUAGUCAUCUACUGUGAGAAAAAUAGAGUGUCAAGCAGGCAUCUGCUUGAAUAGAUUAGCAUCGAGUAAUACUAAUAAGGCGUUAUGAUCGAUUUAAUGGGUUUGAUCAUAAAAGCAAGAUAAAAGGAACAGUUGGGGGUAUUCAUAUUCAAUAGUUAGAGGUGAAAUUCUUGGAUUUAUGGAAGAUGAACUAGUGCGAAAGCAUUUACCAAGGAUGUUUUCAUUAAUCAAGAACGAAAGCUAGGGGAUUGAAGAGGCUUAGAUACCCUUGUAGUUUUAGCUAUAAACUAUACCGACUAGGGGUUAGUAGAAGUCAUUGUGUUUCUAUUAGUACCUUAUGAGAAAUCAAAGUUUUUGGGUUCCGGGGGGAGUAUGGUUGCAAGGGUGAAACUUAAAGGAAUUGACGGAAGGGCACCACCCGGAGUGGAGCCUGCGGCUUAAUUUGACUCAACCCGGGGAAACUUACCAGGUCCCGACAUAGGAAGGAUUGACAGAUUGAUAGCUUUUUUUUGAUUUUAUGGGUGGUGGUGCAUGGCCGUUUUUAGUUGGUGGAGUGAUUUGUUUGGUUAAUUCCGAUAACGAACGAGACCUCCGCCUGCUAAAUAGUAUAUAUUAUUUUGAAUAAUGUAUACUUCUUAGAGGGACACUAUACGUAUGAGUGUAGGGAAGCUGGAGGCAAUAACAGGUCUGUGAUGCCCUUAGAUGUUCUGGGCUGCACGCGCGCGACACUGAUCUAUUCAACAAGUGACUGAAUCGAUAGAUUUGGU
rnacentral:rRNA from 1 species